rnacentral:rRNA from 1 species
UACAGAGGGGGCAAGCGUUGUUCGGAAUUACUGGGCGUAAAGGGCGCGUAGGCGGCCUGUUAAGUCGAACGUGAAAUCCCCGGGCUCAACCCGGGAACUGCGUCCGAUACUGGCAGGCUUGAAUCCGGGAGAGGGAUGCGGAAUUCCAGGUGUAGCGGUGAAAUGCGUAGAUAUCAGGAGGAACACCAAUGGCGAAGGCAGCUCGCUGGGACGGUACUGACGCUGAGGCGCGAAAGCUAGGGGAGCAAACGGG